UACAGAGGGUGCGAGCGUUAAUCGGAAUUACUGGGCGUAAAGCGUGCGUAGACGGUUAUUUAAGUCGGGUGUGAAAGCCCCGGGCUCAACCUGGGAAUUGCAUUCGAGACUGAAUAGCUAGGGUACGGUAGAGGGAAGUGGAAUUUCCGGUGUAGCGGUGAAAUGCGUAGAUAUCGGAAGGAACAUCAGUGGCGAAAGCGACUUCCUGGUCCAGCACCGACGUUCAGGCACGAAAGCGUGGGGAGCAAACAGGA
rnacentral:rRNA from 1 species